CCCGGCGAUCUCACAUUUGCUUGUGGCUGGUGCCAGCUACAAGCGCCAUUUACAUUCCAAUCAUCCCAAAAUUUAAAUUUCUAGAUCAGCUUGCUUUUCUGAAUUCCAGAUGCAAAUGAUCUAAUUGUCCAUUAACAUUCCCACUUGCACUUCUUAGGGGCACUCUGCUAAUCCUCUCUCUCUGCGGCUGCUUGUUGCUUCCUGUCGUGGACUGUAGUUUUCUUCCCCAGCACUUGCCAGUUUACAGCCAGUCACUCCGGGUGGCCAGUGUCUUUCUCCUUCCUCGCCUGUAACCUCACAGGACUGCAGGAGCCUUGCUUGUUUGCCUCACCACUGCAUCCCAAGGAUGUAGCAGAGUGCCUGACACAUGCCUCUCAUGGAAACAGGAAAAAGGAGAAGCAUGAUCUUAUUUUACCAGAAAGGCAACCAAGCACAGAGAUCCUUGAGAGAUGAAGAAAAAACAAGAUGAGUCCUCUAACAGCUCAGCUUACUGUUUUGAGGACAUUUUCAGGUGUAGCAUGGGGAGGAGAAGCUCAGAAGACUCUCUGAGUUAAGGAGAUUGAACAAAGCAUCAAGGAGGACCAAAGCAUUUGGAGUAUAGAGUACCAGAGUAUAUAAAGCUCUAAGUGAGAGAACCCUGAAGAAUUAUAGAAGGUUCCCCUUAACUAUUCAACAGAGUACAUACAGACCAACGCAGAUAUGCGAGGAAACUACUUGGAGCUAGGAAAAGAACCAUUUGAAAAGAUUAGAGGAAAUAGUACUGAAUGCUCAUACAGGACUGGGGACUCUGACUGCUUCAAUCAACAAUGCUAGAAAACUCAACCCGUUGGGUGUUGGGUAGAGUACUUGGUAAGGUCUUACCUCUGUUGCAAGGAAUGACUGGCCCUAGACAUAGCACUGGUCUAGACAUGCCUACCAAAUCAUAGUUGCAAGACUGAAAAAAAAUCAAGUUGUUUGUAAGAAAUUUAACAGCAUCACAGAACAAAAUUCAAGAAUAUUUAGAGGAAUACAAAAAUGUCCCACACUGAAAAAGACAAACUUUUCAAUGUCAGACAGCUAAUCAAAGAUUACCAGACACACAAAGAAGCAGGAAACUUCUCCUAUAUGAGUCACAUGGGAGAAUACACAUAUAAUUAAAACUGACCCAGAUGUUAGAAUUCGCAGAAAAAUUUAUUAUAAAGUUAUAACAUUCCAUGUUUUCAAAAAGUUAAGUAGAGACAGGGAAGAUGUAGAAAGAAACUCAAAUUGAAUUUUUAUAAAGAUGGAAACAAUAAUGUCUUCAGUGAAAGCACAUAGGAUGGGAUUAGCAAUGGUUUAGACACUGCAGAAGUACAUAUUAAUGUGCUUGACGACAUAAUAACUUUAGAAAGUAAAACACAAGGAAGAUAUUAAGAAAAGAGCAUCAGUGGACUAUGAGUAAACUUCAAGUGAUGUAAUAGAUAUAUAACUGUAGGCCUUAAAGGCGUAGGAGAACAGAAAAAAUAGUUAAAGGAAUAAUGAUCAAUCAUGAUGAAAACUAUAAACAUGCAGAUUCAAAAAUUAUCAACCCCAAGCAAAAAGUGAAGAAAACUACACCAAAGCCAUCCAGAAUCUACAAGGAAAUCAAAUAAGCAAGAAAAAAGCAGUUCUGUCAAAAAGUGGGCUAAGGACAAUGAAUACACAAUUCUCAAGAGAAGAUACACAAAUGGCCAAGAAACAUGAAAAAAUGCUCAACAUAGUUACCAGGGCAAGGCAAAUCCAAACCACCCUGUGAUACCACCUUACCCACAAGAAUGGCCAGAAUUAAAAAAUAAAAGAUGUUUUUUUUUGUGGUGAAAAGGGAACACUUUUACACUGUUGGUGGGUUGUAAACUAGUACAACCACUAUGGAAAACAGUGUGGAGAUUCCCUAAAGAACUAAAAGUAGAUCUACCAUUUGAUCCCGCAAUCGCACUACUGGGUAUCUACCCAGAGGAAAAGAAGUUAUUAUAUGAAAAAGAUACACUUUCAGAUGCAUAUUUAUAGCAGCACAAUUUGCAUUUGCAGAAAUAUGGAGCCAGCCGAAAUGCUCAUCAAUCAAUGAGUUGAUAAAGAAAAUGCGGUGUAUAUAUAUGUAUAUAUAUAUUAAAAAGUUAUAACAUUCCAUGUUUUCAAAAAGUUUAGUAGAGACAGGGAAGAUGUAGAAAGAAACUCAGGAAUGAGAAACAUCAUAUGUUCUCACUUACAAGUGGGAGCUAAGGUAUGAAGACACAAAGGCAUAAGAAUGGUACAAAGGACUUUGGAGACUCAGGGGAAAGAGUGGAGGUGGGUGGGGGAUAAAAGACUUCACAUCAGGUAGAAUGUUUACUGCUUGGAUCACAGGUGCACCAAUAUCUCAGAAAUCAGCACUAACGGGCUUAUCCAUGUAACCAAACAUGAACUGUUCCCCAAAAACCUAUUGAAAUAAAAAAAUAAGUAAAAAUUGCUUAAAUGCAAUGAUAAAAAUAAAACCUUAGAAGCAGCCAGAAAAAAAAAA
rnacentral:lncRNA from 1 species